rnacentral:rRNA from 1 species
AGAUUGAACGCUGGCGGCAGGCCUAACACAUGCAAGUCGAGCGGUAGAGAGGUGCUUGCAUCUCUUGAGAGCGGCGGACGGGUGAGUAAUGCCUAGGAAUCUGCCUAGUGGUGGGGGAUAACGUUCGGAAACGGACGCUAAUACCGCAUACGUCCUACGGGAGAAAGCGGGGGACCUUCGGGCCUCGCGCCAUUAGAUGAGCCUAGGUCGGAUUAGCUAGUUGGUGAGGUAAUGGCUCACCAAGGCGACGAUCCGUAACUGGUCUGAGAGGAUGAUCAGUC